rnacentral:rRNA from 1 species
UACGUAGGGUGCAAGCGUUGUCCGGAAUUAUUGGGCGUAAAGAGCUCGUAGGCGGUUUGUUGCGUCGGCUGUGAAAUCCCGAGGCUCAACCUCGGGUCUGCAGUCGAUACGAGCAAACUAGAGUGUUGCAGGGGAGACUGGAAUUCCUGGUGUAGCGGUGAAAUGCGCAGAUAUCAGGAGGAACACCGGUGGCGAAGGCGGGAUCCUGGGCCAGUACUGACGCUGAGGAGCGAAAGCGUGGGGAGCGAACAGG